rnacentral:snRNA from 1 species
GGAUGUGAGCACAAUUUGACUGCACAUUUAUUAUUCUACUGGCUGCCAGGGUUGGUUCAGGCAAUCUGGCUAGCUAAACAGGUAUCCCCUUCCUUCCUCCAUGCUGUGGGUCCCUCCUGAAGUACACCCUUUCCCCACUGAGAAUCUUCUUGGGUCUGGGAUAUACAAUUAGCUGCACUCUCCUACUAGAACCUCCAAGUAGCUCCUAGGAGCAACAGUGUGGCCUGCAUCUGUGGAUGGCUGGGAACAAACUGCCAGGGCCU